AGUGAGGAGAGGUGCUGGAGAGGAAGGGGGCCGAGGUCGCCCGUUGGGGAGUAGCGGACUGCUGUCCAGACAAACUCUGGUCUGGCUAGAGGAGGAGAAACGUGGGAUCCAGAUGUAGGACUCUCAACUAUGAUGUCUGCCUGCAUGCUGCCACGCUCCUCCCUGCCAUGAGGACGAUGAACUAAACGACUGAAACUGUCUUAUAGAAAUUUGCCUGAUGCAACCUCUCG